UACGUAGGCAGCAAGCGUUGUUCGGAGUUACUGGGCGUAAAGGGUGCGUAGGCGGCUUCUUAAGUCUGGUGUGAAAUCUCCCGGCUCAACUGGGAGGGUGCGCCGGAUACUGAGGGGCUAGAGUGUGGGAGAGGAAAGUGGAAUUCCUGGUGUAGCGAUGAAAUGCGUAGAUAUCAGGAGGAACACCGGUGGUGUAAACGGCUUUCUGGACCAUAACUGACGCUGAGGCACGAAAGCGUGGGUAGCAAACAGG
rnacentral:rRNA from 1 species